GAUUUUUUAAUUCAACUAUUAGAUUUAUGAUUUAAUUAAAAUUGAUAUCGAGUUAAAGUGAAAACUGAACUAAAACUAAAAUUAAAAGAUAUUGUACUUUAUAACAAAUUACUUUUAAUUAAACCGCUAAGUUUUUUAUUCAAAAUCAAUCAAAAUUCAAUGAAAUGAAUCUCAACAAAACAUGACCAAAUUGAACAAACGCAAACGCAAUGGCAAUGGCAAUGGCAAUGGAUUGAAUUCAGGCAACAGACCAUCAACAAAUUAAUUAAAUCUAACAAAUUUCAACCGACCAAGAAGCAAUAAAAUUUCAACUAAGUAGAAAAGAAAGCGUAGUUGAUGAUGUCCAGAGACAUGAGAAUGGAAUAUUCAACAGCACAUCACAGAAGCUCGUCUUUUGUAGUACUGUAAUGGGUAGGCGACAUGUGAUGGUGAGCAAGGCAGAAAGAGACUAAAUGAGCUUGCUGACUGUGGAAGUGUUUCGGCUGCAUAAUUAUAUUGGAGAUUAGGAUCCAAAACUUCUUCUGUAACGUGGAAAACCAUUAACCCUAUAGCAAUUUUGGUAGGCUUAUCAUGAUGAAAACAUGUUUCAUCAGACAGUUCAAGAAAUCUCUACACUACACUCUUUUGCACCAUCAAGGAUCUCUGCCUUUUUUCCUUCAAAAUCAUAUUAUACACUAAAUUUAAUAAAGGAAAAAUGCUUCAUGAAAAUGACUUGUGAUCUUAAACUUUGAUAAUUCUGGUUCAACCUGUUAACAAACUUAAAUACAUAAUCUUACGAAAAACAAAAAGAAUCACAUUUGCGACAAGAACAAACCUUUUGUUUUACAUAUAACAGAGAAAAUCAGUUAAAAUAAACAUGAAAAACAACGAUUAAAAUAAAUAGCUUUGAGCUAUAACUCUUCCAACUAUUUUCUGUUUGCUGCAUUUGAUAGAAAGAUAGUUAAGACUUGAGAGAGAGAGGGAAGUGAAAUGGAGAGGUCAGGGAAGAUUGGAUAACCGGGAAUCAGUAUAGUAUUUCAAAAAAUAAUAAUAAUAAAAAAAAAAAAAAAAACACGAAGGCUGCUUGCCAAAGACUUGUUUAAAGGCCUUGGCCAAUGGCAUGAAGAAUAUAUAUAGGAAGAGUAUAAAAUGCGUGGCAAAGGCGGGCCCCCAUUUUUGAAUUUGAAACCAUCGGUUCCCCCACGCUCUUUCCUUCAAAAUUCAUUCCAUACUUAACACAUUUUCUAAUCCUAUAUGCUAAUUGCAAUGCCCGCUCUCUUCUUCUCCAAUUCCAAGCAAUCAACUUUUCAAAUACGGAUCUGCUAUUCCCUUUUCUAAACCUAUCCAUCCAUUCCAUUCUACUUUCACUCCCUUCCUUCCCAACAAAGUUCCCAUCCUUUUUCUUUUUUUUGGUUCGUUUUCAUUCAAUUUGAAGUUUUCCCAACACCUUUUGAAUUUUGUGCCAUCAAAGUUUUGGACUUGAAUUGGGUUUCCUAGAUAAUGAAGAAUCAAGGUGAUCUACGGUUGCCCGGAACUGAUCAUACGGUUGGUUUAUAUAUUUGUCAUUUGUUAGAUGAACUCGAGAUUUAUGUUUCUGUUUGAACCUCUGUUUUUUUGUAAUUUAUUUCCUCUUUGUCGGGUUGCUUUUAGGCGAUUGGAGAAAAGCGAAGCAGUGGCGGAUUGGGAGAGAAACAAGAAAGUCUUCGUGAACGGAUUAAAGUGCGAAAACUUGAUUCCGUGUUGAGGACAGAAGGUACUCUUUUUUGUUCAAGUUAUAAAUUUUGAGGAUUCUAUUGGUUGCUUUGUUCAUGAAUUUUGAGUGUUAACGGAUUGCUAGAAUUGAUUUCAGUUGAAUUACAAAGAAAUAGUAUUGUUUUUCAUUUAAAACUAGUAGCUUUUUCUGUAUUUAUAUCCUAUAAAUUGUAAAUUGCUAUUGCUAGUGUAGGUCC
rnacentral:lncRNA from 1 species